CAGAGUUGUAUUCUCCAGAUCCCAACAAGAGAGUGAUGGAACACCAGGCAAGGUUCUAAAUGGUUAUUUCAGUCAUUUUCUGGUUGGAACUACCAACUUAGAAGCAGCCUGGGAGCCAUUGGAGCAGCAGUUGCCUUUCAGGUCCGAGACCUUGGAAGUGCCUUUGGGGUCAGGGACCAGACGAUCAGGCAUCAAUAAAAGACUGCUCUUUACUUUGUCGCUCUCUUCAGGAAAUAGAAGUGGCGAGGAUGCAGAAUGAUCCUGAAUCAAAUGGGCCUGUAUGGAGCGGAGAGUAAGUAGUGAG